CAAGCAAGCACCUCAGCAAGGCUGAUCCAAGACUGCUUACUGCUGGAGUCUGUGUACGUACAGUGGAGCCCAGAGGGCUGGGUUGAAGCCACCCUAAAAUUCGUCCCUUGGAAGAGUCACAUCACCGAAAGAUGUGAUGACAGAAACAAGAGAGGCCAAGGCCUUGAAGCCUAUUGAGAUUAUGAAGCAGGAUUCUAAUGCGAUUUUACAACAAUGAAGCCACCUCCCUGCUGUUGAGAUUAUGGUGACGAAGCUUUGCCCUGUCGUAUCAAAGACAUUCUCCUUCCUGCCCCAGGUGUGUAGUGUGGGGCACACCCCCAGGGCAGACCACUUUGGAGACACCGGAUUAGAGUCUGUGUGAUCACAGCCCUGGAAGACCCCCUGUUUUUUAGGGGUGUC
rnacentral:lncRNA from 1 species